UCCCUGGUGGUCUGGUGGUCUGGACUUGGCACUUUCACUGACAUGGCCUGGGUUCAAUCCCUGGUCAAGGAG
rnacentral:tRNA from 1 species